UAGGGAAUCUUCCGCAAUGGGCGAAAGCCUGACGGAGCAACGCCGCGUGAGUGAUGAAGGUCUUCGGAUCGUAAAACUCUGUUAUUAGGGAAGAACAAAUGUGUAAGUAACUAUGCACGUCUUGACGGUACCUAAUCAGAAAGCCACGGCUAACUACGUGCCAGCAGCCGCGGUAAUACGUAGGUGGCAAGCGUUAUCCGGAAUUAUUGGGCGUAAAGCGCGCGUAGGCGGUUUUUUAAGUCUGAUGUGAAAGCCCACGGCUCAACCGUGGAGGGUCAUUGGAAACUGGAAAACUUGAGUGCAGAAGAGGAAAGUGGAAUUCCAUGUGUAGCGGUGAAAUGCGCAGAGAUAUGGAGGAACACCAGUGGCGAAGGCGACUUUCUGGUCUGUAACUGACGCUGAUGUGCGAAAGCGUGGGGAUCAAACAGGAUUAGAUACCCUGGUAGUCCACGCCGUAAACGAUGAGUGCUAAGUGUUAGGGGGUUUCCGCCCCUUAGUGCUGCAGCUAACGCAUUAAGCACUCCGCCUGGGGGAGUACGACCGCAAGGUUGAAACUUAAAUGAAUUGAC
rnacentral:rRNA from 1 species